UAGAUUAUUUAUAGAUUUAAAUUUCUGUAACACUGCUAACAAUGUCAUCUUCAAUUAAAAAGGAAAGUUGUCUAGUGGUAGAAAAAGAACAAAUAAUAAGAAAUAAUGUGCUUCUGGUAGUAAUUACCACUGUUCACUAAGUAUGUCUGCUUCCCUACCCUUCUGGGCACAUGGUAGUUUUGUCCUGCCUUGAUCCAGUGAAGUUAGGGGUAGCCAUGUGACUUGCUUUGGCCAAAGAAAUGAGAGUGAAUGUGGUGUCACUUUCAGGUGGAAACUUUAAAAGCCAGUGAGGGAUUUGCCAUAUUCCUGAUUUCUGCCUAAGUGAUCAUGGAAACAUGUGAUACCCCAUAAUUCUGAAUUCCUGAAAGUACAUAGUGAACAGUCUGUGUGCAGAUCUGUGAUGGAAAGAGUGUGAGUGAGAGACAGACCUUUGUUGUUUAAGCCACUGAAUAUAAAUGAUUGCUGUUCAGGCUCAUCAAACCACCACCUGUGGGCCAGUUGCCUGUUUUGAUAAAAUUUUACUGGAACAUAGGGAAGACAUUUGUUUCUGUGUUGUCUGUGUCUGCGUUCAUGCUACAACUGAAUUGACUAAUUACAACAGAGACCAUAUGGCCUGCCAGCUGAAAAUAUUUACUAUCACUCUUUAAGAAAAAGCUUGUUGACCUCUGACCUAGGCUAUCCUAACUAUGAUAGAACUGAAAGUCUUUGAUAAGUGUCCUUUUAUGGCUACUUCCUGUUUUGUACACAACACAAAAGAUAUAGUAGCUAGCUAGCUAGCUUCCAAGAUGGCAGUGGUGAUCCCCAACCCUGAACACAAGGCUAUUCACAUCUCUGUGCACUUCCUUCCCACACUGAGCAGGGCUGACUUGUGUAACCAAUGUGGAAGUAAUGGAGUGUGACUUCCACGUUUGGGUCAUUAAAGAUCGUGUGACUCCCAUCUGCCUCUCUCUGAGACCACUCACUCUGGGAGAAGCCACUACCAUGUUCCAAGGGCACUUGAAGCCUUAGGGAGAAGCCACAUGGUGAGAAAACGAGGCCUCCUGACAACAGUUAUGUGGGUCAAGCCCUCAGAUGAUUGCAGCCUCAGCCAAGGUGUUGACUACAUGAGUGCUCUGAGCCCAAAUCACCCAGCCCUUCCAAAUUGCAGAGAAGAUUGAGCUAGAAGUGUUUUCUUCCCCCAGAGCACACUGCUGAUAUUUCUUGGCUCAUCUCACUGAGACCAGACAUGGACCCCCUGCACACAGGGUCAUAGGAUUUGUUCAGCUGUGACCAAGAAUCUCCAGUUCUAUGGCAUAGUAGCUGAAAUGGAAAACUGCAUUUUUUACCUUGACAUCUCCUCCAUCCUAGUUUUUCAGGAUUGAUGAUUGGGCAUUGUUUACAGGAGCCACGAUAUGGAAGUAGCCCAAGUGUCCGUCCGUAGACGAGUGGAUACAGAAGAGGUGGAGAUACAUACGAUGGAAUAUUACUCAGCCAUAAGAAAGGAUGAAAUCUAGCCAUUGGCCACGACAUGAAUGGACCUUGAGGGUAUUAUGGUAAGUGAAGUAAGUCAGAUGGAAGAGGACAAAUUCUGUGUGGUUUCACUUAUAGGUGGAAUCUAAAAAACCAAACGAACGAACCAACAAAACGAAAACAAAUUCACAGAUAUAGAGGAUGGAGUGGUGGUUGUCAGAAGGGAAAGGGGUUGGGGGUUGGACGAAAUGGGUAAAGAGCUCAGCUGUAUGGUGAAGGGCAGUAACUAGACUCUCUGUAGUGUAUACAAAUAUCGAGUUAUAAUGUUGUACACCUGAACCUUACAUAAUGCCAUAUACCAAUUUUACAUCAAUAAAUAUGAAAUA